AGAGUUUGAUCCUGGCUCAGGACGAACGCUGGCGGCGUGCCUAAUACAUGCAAGUCGAGCGCAGGAAGCUCACGGAACUCUUCGGAGGGAAGUGAAGGGAAUGAGCGGCGGACGGGUGAGUAACACGUAAGGAACCUGCCCCAAGGAUUGGGAUAACUCCGAGAAAUCGGAGCUAAUACCGAAUAGUUCUUCAGACCGCAUGGUCUGAUGAUGAAAGGCGCUCCGGCGUCACCUUGGGAUGGCCUUGCGGUGCAUUAGCUAGUUGGUGGGGUAAUGGCCCACCAAGGCGACGAUGCAUAGCCGACCUGAGAGGGUGAUCGGCCACACUGGGACUGAGACACGGCCCAGACUCCUACGGGAGGCAGCAGUAGGGAAUCUUCCACAAUGGACGAAAGUCUGAUGGAGCAACGCCGCGUGAGUGAUGAAGGUUUUCGGAUCGCAAAACUCUGUUGUAAGGGAAGAACAAGUACGAGAGGUAAUGCUCGUACCUUGACGGUACCUUGCGAGAAAGCCACGGCUAACUACGUGCCAGCAGCCGCGGUAAUACGUAGGUGGCAAGCGUUGUCCGGAAUUAUUGGGCGUAAAGCGCGCGCAGGCGGCCUUUUAAGUCUGAUGUGAAAGCCCCCGGCUCAACCGGGGAGGGUCAUUGGAAACUGGAAGGCUUGAGUACAGAAGAGAAGAGUGGAAUUCCAUGUGUAGCGGUGAAAUGCGUAGAGAUGUGGAGGAACACCAGUGGCGAAGGCGACUCUUUGGUCUGUAACUGACGCUGAGGCGCGAAAGCGUGGGGAGCAAACAGGAUUAGAUACCCUGGUAGUCC
rnacentral:rRNA from 1 species